ensembl:lncRNA
CUCAUUUGGUAGUCUGAGGGUUGACCAUAAUAUUCCCAAUACCCACUUUCUUAGAUACCUGCAAACUUGCAGCUGUGCCAAAAAAAAACAAUUUCCCCUCAUUUCCAUUGGAGCCCACUAAGUGUCAAGUCGAGAGGUGCUUAGAUCUUAACCCUUAUUUGAAGGGCACAAUUUCCCCUCAUUUACAUUGGAGCCCACUAAGUGUCAAGUCGAGAGGUGCUUAGAUCUUAACCCUUAUCUGAAGGGCACAAUUUCCCCUCAUUUACAUUGGAGCCCACUAAGUGUCAAGUCGAGAGGUGCUUAGAUCUUAACCCUUAUCUGAAGGGCACAAUUUCCCCUCAUUUCCAUUGGAGUCCACUAAGUGUCAAGUCGAGAGGUGCUUAGAUCUUAACCCUUAUCUGAAGGGCACAAUUUCCCCUCAUUUACAUUGGAGCCCACUAAGUGUCAAGUCGAGAGGUGCUUAGAUCUUAACCCUUAUCUGAAGGGCACAAUUUCCCCUCAUUUACAUUGGAGCCCACUAAGUGUCAAGUCGAGAGAUGCUUAGAUCUUAACCCUUAUCUGAAGGGCACAAUUUCCCCUCAUUUCCAUUGGAGCCCACUAAGUGUCAAGUCGAGAGGUGCUUAGAUCUUAACCCUUAUCUGAAGGGCACAAUUUCCAGAUUAUACAACAUAAUACAGAACAUUAAUCCGCCUUCCUUGGCAAAUACAACAUCUACAUGGGAGCCAGACAUGUGUGGCGAGC